UGGGAAAUUUUCCGCAAUGGGCGCAAGCCUGACGGAGCAAGACCGCGUGCGGGAAGACGGCCUGUGGGUUGUAAACCGCUUUUGACCGGGAAGAAGUCUGACGGUACCGGUCGAAUCAGCCUCGGCUAACUCCGUGCCAGCAGCCGCGGUAAUACGGAGGAGGCAAGCGUUAUCCGGAAUUAUUGGGCGUAAAGCGUCCGCAGGUGGUUGGUCAAGUCAGCUGUUAAAGCGUGGGGCUUAACUCCAUAAAGGCAGUUGAAACUGACUAGCUAGAGUGCGAUAGGGGCAAGGGGAAUUCCCAGUGUAGCGGUGAAAUGCGUAGAUAUUGGGAAGAACACCGGUGGCGAAAGCGCCUUGCUGGGUCUGCACUGACACUGAGGGACGAAAGCUAGGGGAGCGAAAGGGAUUAGAUACCCCUGUAGUCCUAGCUGUAAACGAUGGGUACUAGGCGUUGUCCGUAUCGACCCGGGCAGUGCCGUAGCUAACGCGUUAAGUACCCCGCCUGGGAGA
rnacentral:rRNA from 1 species